rnacentral:rRNA from 1 species
GGACUACCCGGGUUUCUAAUCCUGUUUGCUCCCCUAGCUUUCGUAGAUCAGCGUCAGUGAUGGCCCAGAAACCUGCUUUCGCCAUAGGUAUUCCUCCCGAUAUCUACGCAUUUCACCGCUACACCGGGAAUUCCAGUUUCCCCUACCACACUCUAGCCCGGUAGUUUCCCUUGACCUCUCCCAGUUGAGCCAGGAGCUUUCACAAGAGACUUACCGAACCGCCUACCUGCGCUUUACGCCUAGUGAUUCCGAGUAACGCUUGCCACCUACGUAUUACCGCGGCUGCUGGCAC